UCCCUGGUGGCUCAGAGGUUAAAGUGUCCGCCUGCAAUGCGGGAGACCUGGGUUGGAUCCCUGGGUUGGGAA
rnacentral:tRNA from 1 species